GGCGAGGAUUGAGGAAAACCAAUACAGCUGGGUUUUCUUUUGUGAGAGUCACUCCACAUUCGGGUGAGUCUUCAGGAUCAGAGUUGAGACUGAAAAUCCAUGUGGGUGAGAAAAAUAAAGAAUAGAGGGGCUGAACCAUGUGAUUAGGAAUUACACCACUGGUUGACUGCAUGACUGGGUGUUGAACCCAACAAUCUGCACCCGGAGUCUCAUUUCUUCACCACUAAGCUGCACUGGCUUGCCAAGCAGGUCAAAAAUAUCACCUAGACGAGUCCCUCCCAUCCAUUUCCCAGGAGAUCGCUCUGAAAUCCUUCUCUACCAAGAAGCACUUGUGUGGAUCAAGUCAAAACAUGUUACAUUGCUGGAAUUUGAGAAC